UGGCAGUACCUAUGGCAGUAACCUAUUAUAAAUAGCAGACUCUUCUUCUUUUUUUGUUAGGUUUUUAUUUUUGUUAGUUUAAUAUUUAUUCUUUUACUUUUUAGCACUUGACUGUGAAUAUGACAAUGAAGUGUCAGAUUAUAGCCUGGAUGAUGCCUCUCCAGAUAAGGGACAGGAAGAUCUUUCUCUGGAGAAACUGAAACACCAACUGGGGAUCCCCAACAAAAAUAGGUCCAACUUCUCCAUUGUCCUUCCACCAGUCUACAGCUCUGCCUGCCCUGAGAACUUCCAAUCAGCAUUUGGGUGCUUCACCCUCCAAUAGAGAGAGACACACAAGGAUCGUCAGAAGGUAAGGAGUGCUAGAAGGAAAAGGCUAAAUCAAGAGGAAAUAGCAAAUAAGGGGGUACCUGACUAAGCGUCGACUCUUGAUUUCGGCUCAGGUCAUGGUGUCUGGGUUGUGGGAUUGAGCCCUGCUUCAGGCUCUGUGCUGAGUGUGGAUCCUGCUUGAGAUUCUCACUCUCUCCCUCUCUGCCCCUCUCCCCUUCCCCUGCUCACACUCUCUCUCAUCCUCUCUCUUUAAAAAAAAAGAAAGAACAAAUAAGUAGAAAAGGGGGUG
ensembl:lncRNA